rnacentral:lncRNA from 1 species
ACUUUAUGGACCUAAUAAUUUAAAGAAUUUGAUUAAUAUAAUUUAACAAAAUUAAAUAGAUAAACUAGCUAAUCUCAAUCCUCCCACUGACUUCACCAAGUCAGAUCAGGGUAGACUAAAAAUAAUCUGAUCCAAUUGACAAUCAUCAAUCCUUCGACUGACUUCACCAAGUCAUGUCAAGGAUAAAGACAAGUUGAGCUAGGGGCACCUAAAUCAAUUGAACUGAUUUUUUAGUAAGCAUGGGUCAAUCCUAAUCAUUAAGCGAUUUGAUCAAAACAUGAUUCACCAUGUUGGCCAAGUAAGUG